rnacentral:rRNA from 1 species
AUUGAACGCUGGCGGCAGGCUUAACACAUGCAAGUCGAACGAGUGGCGGACGGGUGAGUAAUGCUUGGGAAUCUAGCUUAUGGGGGGGGAUAACUACGGGAAACUGUAGCUAAUACCGCGUACCAUAGGCAGAGCCCAAGUGGGAUUAGAUAGUUGGUGAGGAAAAGGCUCACCAAGACGACGCCCUCUCGCUUGUCUGAGAGGAUAACCAGCCACACUGGGACUGUGAAACGGCCCAGACUCCGAAGGGAGGCAGCAGGGGGGAAUAUGGCGCAAUGGGGGCAACCCUGACGCAGCCAUGCCGCGUGAAUGAAGAAGGCCUUAGGGUUGUAAAGUACUUUCAGUCGGGAGGCGUUACCGACAGAAGAAGCACCGGCUAACUCCGUGCCAGCAGCCGCGGUAAUUC